rnacentral:lncRNA from 1 species
GGCUCACAGGAGAUAGCACUCACUAUUUAGUUUGGAGUGUGACUGAAUGAGUGGGAACUCAUGUAAAAUCUUUAUGCAAAUGCAGGGAGCAACAGUGCAGGAGGCUGUACCUGUCCUAGGCAGGCACACAGGUUGGCAAGGCCAGUUGGAACCAAGAUAAAAGGUCAUCACAGGAAAACCUUGAACCACUUACUGAGGAGGAUUCCCAGAGCACACUGGCUAGAGCAGUGUUUGAUUUCAUGGGUCAGACAUGGAGCCUGUCCCUGUUACUCUUUACCUUGGUUCUGCUGAAUUCUCCCAGACAUGUCACAGGGACCGUGAGUUCAGAGUCUCACAUGAAUUCCUGGAUCAGCAUUGUCAUCCCAGCCCUAGUAUUGGUAGUCCUGAUUACAGUAUGUGCCUAUCUACAAAUCAGAUGGAAAAUCCUUAACAAAAUAAAAGGCAUCGACAGAAGAAGAAGAAACAUACCACCACGACCAAACCAUAGAGGGGACAGAAGUCUAGAGAAGGGAUGUGUACUUCUCCAGAAGGUUUGCCUUUCAGGUCAAGAAACACAGACAAGGACACAGGAGGCCUUGCCUACUACAACCACACAAGACCAUGUAGCAGUGAUGCUGGCCAGAGUCUACACACCACAGGAGGGCAGCUGAGAGCAGCCCAGACAGCAGCAGCCCAACAAUAUGGACCAAAGACAUUUCCCCUGCACUGCUGGAAGACUGAGCACAGAUGUCCUCUAUGCGUGUGUUUCUGCAUAAGUGUCCAUGCUUCCCAUUGAUGGCAUAUUCUGGUGGCAAACUCUGCCUCAGAUUUCUAGGAGAAAUGUCCUUAUUUCUGUCUUUACUGACAUCUUGGAUGGUAUUCAGCCCUUUAUCCUCGUUCCCCUCUCUCCUACCAGAACUCUAUCCUCUGAAUGCUGAUCCCUCAUAUGGGAGCUUUCACUUUUUCUUGUCCACAAACAGACCCCCAGGCCAUUUCAUUUUUUCUUUUUUUAAAAUAAGUAAUAAUUUAUUUAUGUAUUUUUAGUUUUCAACAUUCACUUCCG